AUCUUAAACAUGAGGUGUUACAAAGCCAGGGUUGAAAUGUGCUCUAGUAGAGGACGCUCUGGGCUGAGAGAGAAAGGAAGGAGUUCCCGAGAAGGGGACUUGAACUACAAAUCAAGAAGACAAGGAGAGGAGAAAGAUCAUAAUUAGCUAUAGCUCUAAACGUAACAAGAAGAAUUUUUCAAUCAAUAUGGUAAGCUGCUUGUAGCCAAUUAAAAGACUGUAAAGUGAGGACAAUGCCAUAUGCAGAUUAGGCUUGCCUCAUAAAAAGAGCCUUAAAGCAGUGUUGCAUAGUUCAUGAAUUGAUUUUGCUUGAAGGCUGAAGGAAAAGGAACUGCAGUAAGCCAGUCUCACAGGAAUAAAAAAUGGUACCUCGAAGAACUCUAUCAAUGGCAAACAAAAUGGUCAGAGGAGUUUUAUAUACCUCGUUUUUAGUAAAGUUUCUCGGCAACUUUAAUGGGAUCACACUGAAGCAGAACUACAGCAAAGCUUUAAUUCACCACUGAAUCCCAGCACUUUGCCUGUGACAACUCUAUACAAUACUGCAGCAUUUGGAACAAUGAGGAUACUACCUCCAACGCCAGAAGCUGAAGAGUUAAAGAGUUAGUCUCCUGCAGAGAAAGCGGGGAGUCAAGAAAAACACCCAGACAUAUAGUUGUUGAGACAGGAGCAACAUUACAGCCAUUAAAAUCAAAUGUCAAAGAAGGAACAAUGCCUAUUAGCUUUUAGAAACCAAAAAUGAGCAGUUCAGCUUUAUCAAACAAAUAGGUUGCACUAUCCAAUUACUAAGUUCUGAUAAGGACCAUGUCAAUUUUGAAAUUGUACUGAGCCUGAGCUCAGUACAGCUGAGCCUGUGCAGAAGAAAAAAACAAAUAUGAGAAUAAGAGUUAUCCGCAUAACAAGGAUAAAAGAAAGCCAAACUAUUGCAAUCCUGACCUAAUUACCCAGACAAAUCACUCCCCUUUCAGGAACAUUGUAAAGCCAGUAAAAUCACUGUAGCCUUGACUCUGACCUUGUAUGAUGCCAUUCAGGUCCCAUUCAUCAGAAGCCUCGAGAAAUCAUCAGGUUGGGUCCUUCACUUGAACCAAUAUCAUUCCAGCAUGUUUUUGUUUCAUCUCCUGGGAAUAUCACAGCUAGGACUGCAUAAGCUCCAGCUAAGUAGGCAGCAAAGGACUGCAGCCUGCAGAGUGAAUGGGACUCCCCAUCUACAGCAGAUGCGCAGACCUAGCUACAAAGAGUGAUCAGCAAGUAUACUAGAAGAAGCCAGAGGCACAGCCAAUAGCAUGUUUGCCUUUUUAGAGUAAUGUCCAUUAAGUUCCCUAUAUAUCCUGACAAAGCUGAAAGAGGACACAUACCACCAGCAAUAUUAGAGCAAAAGCUAAUAAUCAUGUGGGACUAUAUAUGAGUUUCAAAACACUGAGCUAC
ensembl:lncRNA